rnacentral:rRNA from 1 species
GAUGAACGCUGGCGGCGUGCUUAACACAUGCAAGUCGAACGGAAAGGCUCCUGCUUGCAGGGGUACUCGAGUGGCGAACGGGUGAGUAACACGUGGGUGAUCUGCCCUGCACUUCGGGAUAAGCCUGGGAAACUGGGUCUAAUACCGGAUAGGACGAUGUUUUGCAUGCCAUUGUGGAAAGUUUUUCGGUGUGGGAUGAGCUCGCGGCCUAUCCGCUUGUUGGUGGGGUAAUGGCCGACCAAGGCGUCGACGGGUAGCCGGCCUGGGAGGGUGUAAGGGCACAGUGGGACUGAGAUACGGCCCAGACGCCUACGUGAGGCAGGAGUGGGAAAUAUUGCACAAUAGGCGCAAGCCUGAUGCAGCGACGCCGGGUGGGGAAUGACGGCCUUCGGGUUGUAAACACCGUGCGAGAGGGACGAAGCGCAAGUGACGGUACCUGGAGAGGAAGCACCGGCUAACUACGUG